UCAUCAUCAUCUUUAACUUGUGAACCGAGCCCAUCCAGUUCACCAAAGGCCAAUCCUGGCCAGGAUGAAGAUGCAAAUCCUGCAAAUCUCCAAUCAGCAAAAACAAAGCCGUGACUCUGAGGCUUUAAUCUUUCAGUAAGAUCCAUACCAAGGCAAGCAACCAUAAUACAUUCAUAUGGUUAAAUAUAUAUUCACCGGUCCAAAAGUUAAUCAUCUCUCCAUUACUGUGUCACACCACUGGAACCCAUCUCUCUUUUUUUCAUCAGAAGGUGUGAUUUUGUUGAGAAGUAACCAAGCAAGUCUUGG
rnacentral:lncRNA from 1 species